rnacentral:rRNA from 1 species
CCUACGGGAGGCAGCAGUGAGGAAUAUUGGUCAAUGGGCGCUAGCCUGAACCAGCCAAGUAGCGUGAAGGAUGACUGCUCUAUGGGUUGUAAACUUCUUUUAUAUGGGAAUAAAGUGCAGUAUGUAUACUGCUUUGCAUGUACCUUAUGAAUAAGGAUCGGCUAACUCCGUACCAGCAGCCGCGGUAAUACGGAGGGUCCGAGCGUUAUCCGGAUUUAUUGGGUUUAAAGGGAGCGUAGGCGGGUUGUUAAGUCAGAUGUGAAAGUUUGCGGCUCAACCGUAAAAUUGCAGUUGAUACUGGCAUCCUUGAGUACAGUAGAGGUAAGCGGAAUUCGUGGUGUAGCGGUGAAAUGCUUAGAUAUCACGAAGAACUCCGAUUGCGAAGGCAGCCUGCUGGACUGUAACUGACGCUGAUGCUCGAAAGUGUGGGUAGCAAACAGGAUUAGAUACCCCUGUAGUC